CCAGUGGAGAGGGUGUAUUGAAUGUCUUCUGUCUAAAGAAAUCUGAUAGAAGGCUGAAAAGGCAGAGAACCAGACAGUCAGCUUCUGAGGUGAGCCUGAGGGAAAAUCAGGAGCUGCUGAGGGAUGACGGCCUGUCUGACACCCUGGGAAGUCAGAGAACUGUGCCAGCCAUAGACUGUGGGAUGGAGUGAGGCAUAGGGGCUUGAAGACAAACGUGUGGAAACAAAAUAUGACCUGACUGGAGGCCAUGUUGUGAGAAGAGACAGACCCACCCCAUGGGACCAGAAUGGCUGUUGGAAAGGGCAUUAGAUGAGGAGAGCCGGCUACAUCAUCCACCGCAACGAGGGGAGCACUCCAGCAGUGAGUCUACUCUUCUACGCCACCCUUUUCUGCCUUCCCGUUAGCUGUCCUGCUCCUAGCGGUGGAACAGGAGCAAACUGUCCCUGCACCUCCCGCAACUCAGGAACUGCUCUUGUGCGUGGCCCCUGCAGUACUGCAAGGCUGGGGCGGCUUCUUGCUGGCCCCUUUGCCCCUGUGCAGCCAUGCAAGGACCUCUUGCAAUCUGGUCCUGUGUGUAUCUCUGUUUGUACAUCGUUAGAAAGAGGCAUGCACACACACAAAGGUAUAUGUGAAAGUUCUCAUCGGACAGUGUUUGGAUAAUACACCAAGGCUGAUGGCCUCCAUACAGACCUGGGAUUUGGAGAUGCUGACAGAGUUCAAGGGAGACUGGACUUUAUAAACUCUGUACUGGUGCUCAUAUCAACAUGUCCUGUCUUUAUUGAAAUGAAUUGUGGCCAGCGGUCUGUUUGGGAGGAGGGGGCAUGAAGGGGAGAGUGAGAUAGCAGAGGUAUUUCACAAUACCAUAUCCUGCAACUCAAUUAGCCUUUCACAAAGGAAUAAGUGACCUGGCUAGAGAGCUAAACCAUGAAGAGGGAGCAACCAAGUCCAGAGAGAGAGACAACAAGGAGUGAGCAACCAAAGGAGGGGGCAUCAGAUUGCUGAAUAGCUAAUCCCCAGAUGUGACACAAAGCAGUGCCCCUAAUGCAAAUUAUGGGCCCAAUUUUGCCACCCUCCAUGAAAGCAACGGCAGACAAUCGUUUUGUGCCAGACACCAGAGCGAUUAGAAGAGCACAGCAAGGCGUGCUGUGCAUCAGAGAGGCUUUGAAAACCAGUUU